UAUAUAUAUAUAUAUAUAUAUAUAUAUAUAUAUAUAUAUAUAUAAAACACCAACAUUUCAUCACUGACUCUGUGAUGCCAACGAAAUGUGAGAUGAUGCUGACGAAGAUGCUGAUGAAGAAAAGAGGAAGAAUGAAAAUGUUUGCAGUUUAAACUCUAUGGGGAAAUUGUUGCACGUUGAAUUAUCUUACUCCAUGUGUUGCUAACAGAGCAGAGACUACAGGAGUUACUCCUAAACCCAGCACAGCCAUAACCUACCACCUGACCUACCAACUGGGUUUAUAAUAAACUACCACCUGACCUACCAACUGGGUUUAUAAUAAACUACCACCUGACCUACCACCUGACCUACCAACUGGGUUUAUAAUAAACUACCACCUGACCUACCAACUGGGUUUAUAAUAAUCUACCAUCUGACCUACCAACUGGGUUUAUAAUAAUCUACCACCUGACCUACCAACUGGGUUUAUAAUAAUCUACCACCUGACCUACCACCUGACCUACCAACUGGGUUUAUAAUAAACUACCACCUGACCUACCAACUGGGUUUAUAAUAAACUACCACCUGACCUACCAACUGGGUUUAUAAUAAACUACCACCUGACCUACCACCUGACCUACCAACUGGGUUUAUAAUAAACUACCACCUGACCUACCAACUGGGUUUAUAAUAAACUACCACCUGACCUACCAACUGGG